CCAAGCUGCUCGGUGCUGGAUUUCAUUUCUUAGAGCAGAGAACCACAGCCCUGGCUCCCUCCAAAAACUGAGGAACUUCAAAAGAACAACACUUGACUCUGAAAACAUUUGGUCUUUUACCACAGUGGCUCGCUCCUUUUAUUCAAAUAAAUGGUCACAAGCUUCUAUUUGCGUUUGCAGACACUGGCUUCGAGCAAACAUCACCCAGCCCUUCUCCUGUGGCACUUAGAGGUUUUCUUCCAGCAAACCAUGAUGCCAUGGGCACAACAGGUCACAGCUAAAUCUGUCAGUGGUAACAAACACGUGGUUUCAGUGGGGCCAAGGAAAACAUUGUCCCUCCUCUGAGCUGAGGUUUGUCCACCUGGUUGCUUACACCAGAGCUUUAAUUAAGUCAGGUACAGCUGCAGAAGAAAAACAAUGAAUCAGCAACUCCCCUAUGCCACCAAACAACCCAAAGCACAGAGCAACAAAUGGGGGAGGAAGGGAGUGAAAACUCGGAGUGACCAUUUUUAGUAUUGACUUUUAGUUGGUUUGACCUCAGCGGCACAAAGCGUGAACAUAAUCAACAGUGUGAUUCCCAGCAACCAAAGCUAGGUUUCACCAGUAUAUGUUAUAUAGUUCAAACAGGAGAAGCCAGAACCAGGAGGUGGAGGUCUUUGGCUAGCAUCAGGAGGAAAUAUAACUGCAUGACUGGAAUGGGAACUUUGAAGCCUACAUUUGAGACCUCAACAACUCCAGGAACAUCAGUGAGUGAUUUACAUAAGAAGAGAAGGAAAGUCAGAAGAGACAAGAUAACCAGAAGAGCAUGUACAAAACCCAGCUUUCCAGUGAGUACCUUUCAACGACUUGAACACAAGAAGGUACCAUGGUGGUGGCAUGAGCCCCAUGCUUGAGGCUGUGAUCUGCUCUUACACUCAGAUACGAGAAGCUGCUACUGCCCCACACAGACAGAAAGGCUCUCCCACUUUUACAAGAACUGUCUGACUGCACACAAUACACAAAAAAGAGUAAUUUGGAUCAUAGCUAAGCAUUCACUGAAAGCACUCUUAUUUCCUCACAUCCCUAUGCAGUAAAGUUAUGCUUCAAGGUACACUCGUGCUCAAGAUGCCCUUCAAAGAACAGGAAAUUUCACUGAUUUCAACAGGGCGUAACGAUUUUUCAAAGGCUUUGCAGAAUUAGGGCACCAGCCUGCAAGUCUGAACAAGUGUGACUAGACUUCCUACAACAAGCAGUCCAGUGAGCCCAUAGUCCAACUGGAAGGCCUUCGUUAAGGUCAGUCUGCAAAUAAUGAUAAGCCAGCAGCCGUCCACCCUCACCAAGGCUUACACCAUUCACGUGGGCGUUAGGAAGUAAUAUCUGCUGAGUGACUACACGAGGCAGGCAAUGCAGACAGUGGGAGGGAAGAAAGCCAAUGGUACUGUUGAUAUCUGGAGUGUAACAAGAGCAGGGCAUCGUUAUUAAAGGCAUUUCUUCAAAUAACAGGCGCCUAUUUGUGUCUUUUGGUUCUCCAGGUGUGAGUUUCUCUUACAUCGCCAAUACAUGGUGCCUUCCUGGGGCAGAGGUGAAAAGAGCAAUGGUGCCCCAGUUAGCUCUCCAGGUGGCCUUACUCUGCAGUGAUCUUGUACAGCAGUUCCUCCCUCUACAUCCAGAAUGUCCCCAGGCAUCUCAGCGGAACUUUGCACAGAGGCUACUUGUGUGAAUAUGCCUACAAGCUCUGCUCAGAGGGCUGUAGGAUCAAGAGGACAAUGCAUCCGCAUAGCAAACAUAUCCAGGUUUCAUGAAAUGACUUAGUUCUUCCAGUGGUCAUCAGCCUGCAAACAGAACCCACAGUGCCUACAAAGUGUUUCAGCUCCUGCUGUUAAAUAGAAGAGAUACAAAACCUGGCUUGUUUAU
rnacentral:lncRNA from 1 species